GAUGAACGCUGGCGGCGUGCCUAAUACAUGCAAGUCGAGCGAACAGAUGAGGAGCUUGCUCCUCUGACGUUAGCGGCGGACGGGUGAGUAACACGUGGAUAACCUACCUAUAAGACUGGGAUAACUUCGGGAAACCGGAGCUAAUACCGGAUAAUAUAUUGAACCGCAUGGUUCAAUAGUGAAAGACGGUUUUGCUGUCACUUAUAGAUGGUUCCGCGCCGCAUUAGCUAGUUGGUAAGGUAACGACUUACCAAGGCAGCGAUGCGUAGCCGACCUGAGAGGGUGAUCGGCCACACUGGAACGGAGACACGGUCCAGACUCCUACGGGAGGCAGCAGUAGGGAAUCUUCCGCAAUGGGCGAAAGCCUGACGGAGCAACGCCGCGUGAGUGAUGAAGGUCUUCGGAUCGUAAAACUCUGUUAUUAGGGAAGAACAAAUGUGUAAGUAACUAUGCACGUCUUGACGGUACCUAAUCAGAAAGCCACGGCUAACUACGUG
rnacentral:rRNA from 1 species